AUGAACGCUAGCUACAGGCUUAACACAUGCAAGUCGAGGGGCAGCAUGGUCUUAGCUUGCUAAGGCCGAUGGCGACCGGCGCACGGGUGAGUAACACGUAUCCAACCUGCCGUCUACUCUUGGACAGCCUUCUGAAAAGGAAGAUUAAUACAAGAUGGCAUCAUGAGUCCGCAUGUUCACAUGAUUAAAGGUAUUCCGGUAGACGAUGGGGAUGCGUUCCAUUAGAUAGUAGGCGGGGUAACGGCCCACCUAGUCUUCGAUGGAUAGGGGUUCUGAGAGGAAGGUCCCCCACAUUGGAACUGAGACACGGUCCAAACUCCUACGGGAGGCAGCAGUGAGGAAUAUUGGUCAAUGGGCGAGAGCCUGAACCAGCCAAGUAGCGUGAAGGAUGACUGCCCUAUGGGUUGUAAACUUCUUUUAUAAAGGAAUAAAGUCGGGUAUGCAUACCCGUUUGCAUGUACUUUAUGAAUAAGGAUCGGCUAACUCCGUG
rnacentral:rRNA from 1 species